AGAGUUUGAUCCUGGCUCAGGACGAACGCUGGCGGCGUGCCUAACACAUGCAAGUCGAGCGGAGACAGUGAGUAGCUUGCUAUGAGCUGUUUUAGCGGCGGACGGGUGAGUAACGCGUGAGCAACCUUUCCCAGACAGGGGAAUAACACACCGAAAGGUGUACUAAUACCGCAUAAGACCACGGAAUCACAUGGUUCUGGGGUAAAAGAAUUAUCGGUUUGGGGUGGGCUCGCGUCCGAUUAGGUAGUUGGUGAGGUAACGGCCCACCAAGCCGACGAUCGGUAGCCGACCUGAGAGGGUGAUCGGCCACAUUGGGACUGAGACACGGCCCAAACUCCUACGGGAGGCAGCAGUGGGGAAUAUUGGGCAAUGGGGGAAACCCUGACCCAGCAACGCCGCGUGAAGGAAGAAGGUUUUCGGAUCGUAAACUUCUAUCCUUGGUGAAAAUAAUGAUGGUAGCCAAGAAGGAAGCCCCGGCUAACUACGUGCCAGCAGCCGCGGUAAUACGUAGGGGGCAAGCGUUGUCCGGAAUAAUUGGGCGUAAAGGGCGCGUAGGCGGCUCGGUAAGUCUGGAGUGAAAGUCCUGCUUUUAAGGUGGGAAUUGCUUUGGAUACUGUCGGGCUUGAGUGCAGGAGAGGUUAGUGGAAUUCCCAGUGUAGCGGUGAAAUGCGUAGAGAUUGGGAGGAACACCAGUGGCGAAGGCGACUAACUGGACUGUAACUGACGCUGAGGCGCGAAAGUGUGGGGAGCAAACAGGAUUAGAUACCCUGGUAGUCCACACU
rnacentral:rRNA from 1 species